GACGAACGCUGGCGGCGUGCUUAAUACAUGCAAGUCAACUUGACUUUAGAUAGCAAUAUCGAAAAGUAGGGUGGCGCACGGGUGCGUAACGCGUAGGUAAUCUGCCCUGAGGUCUGACAUAACCCGUCGAAAGGCGGGCUAACAUCAGAUGAUAUAUAAUCACGACAUCGUGGAAAUAUCAAAUCUUCGGAGCCUUGGGAUGAGCCUGCGUCUGAUUAGGUAGUUGGCGGAGUAAUAGCCCACCAAGCCUACGAUCAGUAGCUGGUCUGAGAGGAUGAUCAGCCACACUGGAACUGAGACACGGUCCAGACUCCUACGGGAGGCAGCAGUAAGGAAUAUUGCUCAAUGGGGGAAACCCUGAAGCAGCAACGCCGCGUGAAGGAUGAAAUACUUUUGUAUGUAAACUUCUGUAAGAUGGGAAAAUAUUCUCCUCGGGAGAAUUGAUUGUACCAUCAGAGUAAGCCCCGGCUAACUACGU
rnacentral:rRNA from 1 species